rnacentral:rRNA from 1 species
UACGGAGGAUGCGAGCGUUAUCCGGAUUUAUUGGGUUUAAAGGGUGCGUAGGCGGAGUGCCAAGUCAGCGGUAAAAAUUCGGGGCUCAACCCCGUCGUGCCGUUGAAACUGGCGCCCUUGAGUGGGCGAGAAGUAUGCGGAAUGCGUGGUGUAGCGGUGAAAUGCAUAGAUAUCACGCAGAACCCCGAUUGCGAAGGCAGCAUACCGGCGCCCGACUGACGCUGAAGCACGAGAGCGUGGGUAUCGAACAGG